GAGAGAGACGAGGCGGCGGGGUCGAGCGGCUUCAGAAUCAAAUGCGGGAUCACGUGGUCGGUUGUGUCGGUAACGGUCUCUUGGAUGCACAGAAGUGGGAAGAAUUGCCACAAGAAGAUAGACAUAGAGAAGACUUGGACCGAAUUGCUUUUUGAGCACGUGCUGCUAAUAACAGAGGACUGUCUUCAAUUAAGCAGAACAUAAUCAUUCAUCGUGUAAAGAUGUCUAUGGAGAUUCUCAGUCACCCAGGUCAUGGUUGCCCCAAAGGUGCUUUUUUUUUCAA